rnacentral:lncRNA from 1 species
UGCGUGCGUAAGUCACCGGAGCGUUAUUAGCACGGUGAAAUUAAGGUUCAAACCAUCGUUAUCAAGUGUAGUUAACUUCUGCAAUGGACUUAUGGACGUCGUCGUACAUCGUAUUUGGAGAACACGGUGGGCUGCAUGAGCUUGAUGUCGAAGGUCGGGAUGACGAUGUUCUGGAGCGCCUGGCUGACCUUCGUCUCGCCGAGGAGCUCCCGGACGAGGGAGUGGAGGUACUUGCCGUCGUACUUGGGCCCCGACAACUUCUUGAACAACCCUAGAGGACCGCCGCUGCUGUUUGGUGGGAAGAUCUUGGGGCAGUUCUUGAGGUAGAAGUCGUUGAUGUCCUUGGCGGCAAAGAGCGGCCGGCCCUCCUUGUUCGGCGCCGUGAGCAUGGCGGUCACCAGCCCGCCGGUGCUCGUCCCGGCGAUCACGUCGAAGUAGUCCGCCAGCCUCGCCUCCGGUCGCUCAUCAAACUCCUGCGUACAGACACACACACACACACAGGGGCGCCAAAUUAACAAACCCGUCAGAACUGGUAUUUUGACAUUUUGUGAUCAGCAGAGAAUGAUAACUGGCAUAUGUAUAUGCAUGCAAAAACAAACCUGCAGCUUCUCCUCGAGGAAGCCGAGGAUGGUGCCGGGAAUGAUCCCGCGCACGCCGCCGCCAUCGAUGCUCAGCACGGUGACGAUGUUCCCGUAGGCCGGCGGCGUGGACGACGACAACGGCGUGGACGCGCCGCCGAGGCUGAGCGCCCGCUGCGCCACCACGGCCGGGUUCAGGGUCAGGCCGGAGCCGCCGUUGGUGCCGUGGACCGCUCCAGUAUACACGGGCGCCAUUGUUACCUCGACCUCUCGUCAAAGGCACGUACACGCGCGGACAGCAACUACAAAAGUUUCGAGGGUUUCUUCUCGGAGAUCGAUGCUCUAGCUAGAUCAAUUCAGAUCGUAAUAAGGGCUUGAAGCUUGAUUGGCUUGUUUAAUUUGCUUGUGUCUUGCUGUUGUGUUGCGCUAGCUUUGUGAUUGGGUGUGGCGAGGUCGAUGCACGAGUGUGAGUAUUUAUAGGCCAGCGCGCUGGGAUGAAGAACGGAACAACACGGAGUACGUCGUACCUUAACACUCCUACUGGAUCAUCAAAAAAAAAAAAAAAAAUUGAACGGGUCAGCGCGGAAGCUGCAGCCAAGAGCUGAGCACGCGGGAGCGUGGAACAUUGGAUUCAUGGAUGGAUAUUGUGCGGUGCAGUAUGCAUGAUGAUGUUGGUGGGGAUCAGGUCAAGGUGGCGCACGAGCGGAAACCUAGCUAGUAUAUUCUACGGAUCGAGUACGUGUAUAAUAGCUUGGGAUGGGCCAGAAACCUUGUUUUUUUACUUGGUUGAUUGCUGGCUGCUGCUUGCCGCUUUCGCUUGCGAUCGAGUUGUGAGUGCGAUGAGGCACGCGGGGACGCGCUGGCCGCUGCCGAUUGGCCGCCGGCCGGGCGCCAUGCCCGCCGGCGGCUACGCAUAGUGGUCCGUAGCCGUCGGCGGAUAGAGAUGGACGUCGUCGUAUACAGCAUGUGCAGCGUAGCGGUACGCCGAGCGGCGGCCGACGAGGAAUUGUAUACACAGGGCAGGAAAGCGGCUGGAAGUGUCGUCUUCGCGGCGAAUGGGACGAGAUGGGUAGUGGCCUGGCCUUAGUGCAAGCGUGUUUUCCAACCUUUUGUGAAGACUGAAGACAGGAUCAAAGCGGCUUGACUGUACCGGAGGAAAACUUCGUCGUCUGUGUGUUGGGUUUUUCCCAAUUUGGGGAUAGGGCAUUACAGUUUCGAGUUCUGACCGUUGAUUUUGCACUGGUCAUAGCUAGCUAGCUGCUAAUUUGCGGUCGUCUUUUCUCAGAUACAAUGAGUAGAAGCCAAUUCAAAGAACAAACGAGAACAGGAAUAUUAAUGGGCUAAAACACGAGAGUUAAUUACUACUGAGACAUCUUUGUAUAAUUGUGUAUUUGCGACAGCAAAAUGGUUGGAGCCGCGCGCACCAAAGGAGUCUCCUAAGAUAAGCGCUUCUAGCGCUAUAUGCACCUAGUCGGGGACAUUUUGAGAUGCAGAGAACAGAGAUGGAGCGGCAAAAUAUCAGUUCCGUCGGAAGGUCUCUGAAGACCACCAACGGGAGCCACAACAAACGAGUAUAAUUUAAUUAAAAUGUUCCUCAAAUUUACGUCUUAACCACCAAUAUAAUCAAUGAUGAAAAAAACAAUGACCAUCAAGUAUAUUAUAUAUGAUUCCAAAUUACCUAGUUCUACGUACAAUUUUAAAUUGGAAUUAAACAUAAAUGCUAUGUGUCACUAGUAUAACAAGAAUACAUGCAUAUAUAUAUAUAGUUUAUCGAUCAUGAAAAAAAGGUAUUCCCUUAACAAACAUAUACUAUGACCCUAAGACUAUUAUAAAUUAUAUAAAAACUCUAUUGCAGUAAUUUUUGUAAGUUGUUAAUAUUUUCUAAAAUAGUUUAACAUACCAAUUUGGGUAGUUUAAUUAUAAACACUCUAGUUUUUCAUAGAUAAUACUACCAUACAUAUAGUUUUUGUGAUAGAAAAAAUUCAGCAUCUUGAUUGUCUUAGUGCAAGUUGCAGUGACUACUUAUGUCAUUCUAGUAACUAAGAUAUAAUCUAGGAUUUGGAACAUAUUUUUGAAUAAAGUAUAAGUGGAAACUUGAGAAUAAAUGAUAAAAUAAGCACCAUUUGAAUUUAACACAUGAGUAAAAGAAUACAACAGUUAAGGGCACUCACAAUGCAAGACUCUAUCAUAGAGUCCAAGACAAUUAAUUACAUAUUAUUUAUGGUAUUUUGCUGAUGUGGCAGCAUAUUUAUUGAAGAAAGAGGUGGAAAAAAUAAGACUCCAAGUCUUAUUUAGACUCUAAGUCCACAUUAUUCGAGGUAAUAAAUAACCUUAGACUCUAUGAUAGAGUCUGCAUUGUGAGUGCCCUAAUAAGAUCAAAAUUUGGAAGCCAUAUUAUCGAUUCAUGAUGUCACAAAAGGAAUACAACAAUAGCAGGUAUAAUUCAAGCUAGGUUUCAAGCAAAUACAUUUUUUUGCAACGAUGAAAACACAUACAUACUAAUUGAUAAAUUUAUUAUAAUCUAGUUAUUAUAGAAUAUUUAAAUAUAUAUUGUGUUAGCAAAUGAAUACAAACCAAACUAAUUAUUUGUAUGUACCAUAUUUAUCCACACUGAACUUUUAGUAUUUAUAUAAGUAUAAUAUUCUAGAUGUGGAGGAGCACGGGUUCAUGAGUUAGUUCCAGAAAAAAAGAGAAAAAAGUCUAAAAAGGCAAUCCAAGAAAUUUCUUAAAAAAAUCAAACUAUCACACCAUCUAACUCUGUGUAGAUUGAAAAUGGUAGUCAUAGGAUAUAAUUUGUUUCUAUAUUGUCCACCUCACAACCAUUGUGUAAAUUGAACUAAAAUAACCUUGAAAAUGGAUACAAACUAGUUAGCGGAGUCAUCAUGUAAAGCAAGGAAGUAAUUCACUAAAUGUGUAAAAAUUAUCCCCUUAAGUCUAGAUCCAGCUUAUGCAUCAAGUAAUUAUUAAAGACAACCUAAAAUAAUUAUUAAUUUUGAAUUUAUACCCAUUUUUAAUUUGUUGUUAUAUUGUAAAAGUAUCAUAAAGUAAUCUUUAAACAAGACUAUAGACUACCCACCAGGUGUUGCUUCUGCAGAAUGGUAUGAGGACAUCUUGAGUUAGGUUUUUAUAAUUAACCUAGUUUCCAACACAUCUAUAGUUUAGAAAUAGUGUCGAAGAGUUUAAUCCAUGUAAAACUCUCUCUACUUCCAUAAAACUCUUAUCAUCUCUCUCUUUAUUAAUAUUCACAUCAGUAUAUUUAAUAUCCAUAAAACUCUAAUGAAACUCCGUUAAAACUUACCUUAUAGUGGGUUUGAGGGGUUAAGUUGUUGCGUUGCUCGAGGGCUCAUAUGGAGUUGGGGGAAAAAGUGUCUGAUUCUCUGAAAUAUGGACAAAUAAAGGAUAUUUAGGGUUUUAUUUUCUCCUCUAGGUUUGGGCUACAUGUGUAAAACCUAAUUUAAAACCAAAAAAAUUGCUUCAGUUGGGUUCUCCGGGUUUGGGUAAUUGCAUCUAGAUCAAGGCCUUGUUUAGAUCUAAAAAGUUUUUGGAUUUUGACACUAUAGCAUUUUUAUUUGUAUUUGACAAUUAUUGUCCAACCAUGGAUCAAGGGUCAAAAGAUUCAUCUCGCAAAUUAUAGAUAAACUGUGUAAUUAAUCAUUUUUUAUCUAUAUUUAAUGCUUCAUGCAUGUGCCACAAGAUUUGAUGUGACGGGAAAAUCUUGAAAAGUUUUUGGAUUUUAGGAUGAACUAAACAAGGCCCAAAUUGGAAUCAAGCUCAUGUGUACCUCAGAUAGUUUUCGUUUUCACUGUUUGUUUUUAUUUUCUUUGAGGACUGUAGUAAGAUGCUUCCUGCUGGAUUAAUCCUGGUUGUAUGCUUAGUAUGAUUCGGAUUAGAUGGGCUCCUGAAAAAAAAAAGGUAUUGUCGUUCUUGGGAGUCAACCCUUGUUUUCUGUAGUUUGGCUGUCGCAUGUGGCUGUUGUCUGCUCGGUUAAAAAAAACAGAGAUAAGUGUAGAUUAGCAGCCCUGGCUCGCCGCCGGCUAGGGUACAGUGUGUCCGUUCGCCGCCUCUUGUUUAUGCAAAGUGCUUGUGUCCUUUGGCUCUAGUUUAUCUACGCGCAGCCCCAGUUAGCUGAAGGUCCACGGUCCAUCACAUUUUUGCGAUGCCGAACAUUCUAGUACAUAUUUAUUUUUUGAUUCAAACAUUCUACAUUUCGCCAACUCGUUGAUUGGUAUCCAUAUAAAUCUUUUUCGUCACAAGAUUGCCAAGUGAUCAGCAUGGAUUAUGCUGAGCGAACCUUGUUAAUUAUCAAAGUAUAUCAAUUAAUCGAGUGUGCCAUCGAUCUAUCGUCAGUAAGGAAUUAAAUUUAUAGACAACAAGGACGCCGCAGUUUUAAUAGACAUCAGUAGUUGGUUCUGGCAUCAGUCGUUGGGAUCGAUCUAUCGUCAGUAGUUGGUUCUGACAGACAGAUAAGGAUCUAGCGUUCCUUUCUUAACAAAAGGACAGAAGUGCCGAAUAAGAAGAAGGUAUGCAACUAUGCAUGCAUCAUCUCGUAGAAUCUACUAGCAGCUCGCAAAGUACUACGUACUCAUUUGUAGUACCAGCUAGAUUCGUGUCAACCAACGCCUUGUUUAUUUUACCCCCAAAAAAUCCAAAACUUUUCAAGAUUCUCCGUCACAUCGAAUCUUGUGGAACAUGCAUGAAGCAUUAAAUAUAAAUGAAAAUAAAAACUAAUUACACAGUUUGUCUGUAAAUCGUGAGACGAAUCUUUUAAGCCUAGUUGCUCCAUGAUUGGACAAUAUUUGUCAAAUAAAAACGAAAGUGCUACAGUGUCGUUUUCCAAAACAUUUUUGGAACUAAACAAGGUCCAAAUUUUCUUAGUUGUAAAAAAUUUACAAAAUGGACACUGUAGCACUUUCGCUUGUAUUUGGCAAAUAUUAUCCAAUCAUAGACUAAUUAAGCUCAAAAAUUUUAUCUCGUAAAUUACAUGUAAAUUGUAUAAUUAGUUAUUUUUUAUCUAUAUUUAAUGUUUCAUGUAUGUGCCGCAAUAUUCAAUGUGACGGAAAAUCUUGAAAAAUUUUGCAAAUUUUUUUAGAAACUAAACAAGGCCUUAGCUUUGAUCAAAUUUAUAAAAAAAUUAUCGACAUUUAUAUCUAGAAAUAAACAUAUUCAAUGAUUCAUCUAAUGAUGUUAAUUAUGUAUCAUAAAUAUAAUAUUAAUAUUGUUAACAUAUAUUUGGUCAAGUUCAAAUUGCUUAAUUUUCUCGGAAAACAAGAAUGACAUUAUUUGUGGAGAGAAUCAUGUAUUUAACACUGAAACAAAAUCAGUCUUUCAUAUUUAGCACUAGAAAAUUUAAACUCUCUUCUCAAACACCAAGCUGAAAUUUUCUUUCAGAAAUAUGGCACUACCGUCCAUUUGGGGGCAUCUAAGAUGAAAACGGAACGGAAAUAUUCCGAACCGAACCGAACCGCUUUCUAUAUUAGAUCCGAUCGAAUUCGUAUUUUCUUGUCCGACUUUACCGUUUUCGUUUUCGUAUUUUAGAUGUUUCGUAUUUCAAAUGUAAAAGUAGAAAACGGUUUAGACAUUUUUCGACCGUUUUCUACUUUUCUACUUUUAAUUUGAAAUAUUUCGAAUUCAAAAUUUGGUUUAAACCGAAUUUAGUCAACUGCACGGUCACACAGCCCAAUUACAGAGUACUCACCAUGCAUCUUUGUUCUUUCUACUAGUGGCUAGCUAUGUUCCUGCUAGUUAUUAAUUACUUGUUCUUAUUUAUGUGUGUGCUAUUGUAUUAAAUACCUAAGACCAAGAAUCAUGCACUUUUUAAUUAUUAUAUGCACUUAAACUUGAUCGUGUAUAUACUUAGUUAUGCACUUAGUACUACACAUCGGUAUUUCGUAUUGAGUUUUCGUAUAUCGACCGUGUUCGACAUAAAUCCGCUCGAAUUGGUUCGUUUUCGAAAUUCUUGAUAUUUCGUAAGUUCGCGUUCGUUUUCGUGUCCGACUUUACCGUUUUCGUUUUCGUAUUUCAAAUGUAAAAAUAGAAAAUAAUUUAGGAGUUUUUCGACCGGUUCCGACCGUUUUCAUCCUCUACGUUGACCAUGUCGGAUUUCUUUUAAAAGUACCAAAAUACCCCUCUAGCUCGCGGCUCGUCUCCUGGAGUCGCGAAGGCCUCUCGGGCCUAGUAGUCAAGCAGGCCGCGACGGCCUUACGCGCCGCCGCCGGACUCGGCAGAUCGAGGCGCGGGGGACGCGGUGGGAGUUCCUCGCCAGCCGACGCUAGUGCCAGGCCGCGGCGGGGCGAGCUCGUCGCAAACAGGCCGCGGGGCGGCGUCGCCUGCCGGCGCCCGAAACACGGCCGCACGGCUCCUCGGCGGAGAAGGGAGCGCGCGAUCCAGAAGUUCCUGCAAAGUCGUCACUUGCAAGAUCGGCGCCAAGCCUGCAUGCCCCACGACCGUUCAUGCGCAGCGCAGCGUGCGUCUCGACGGCGCGAGGAGGAGGAAGUCGUCGAGCAGCUGCUCUGUCCAGAGAUGACGCGAUGGCGCUGGAGGUAGACGCGACGCCGGUCAUGUGGCUCCGGGCAUGGGACGAGCGGCGUGGGACAAGCGGCGGCUGUGCUGCGCAAAACACGGCCUCUCCGGCACCGGUGUGGAGCAGGAUAGUGAGAUGGCGCGACACGACUCACGCGUGCUCGCGGCCGCGCGGCCCAGUGCAGUGGCGGAGCGAUUUAAAACUUGGGUAUUUUUAUCAUAUAAAAAAAUUAAAUUUUUAGGUUUAAAAUAUAGCCAGUAAUAACACUAUAAAUCAACAACUAUUAAUUAAUAUUUGCUUUCUAGAUUAAAGACUUCUAACUAAACGACUAGUAUUUUUUUACCUAUUUUGAGUUAAAUAUGCUAAAAUACUAUAAAUGAUAGCAGGCCCCGUGCUGAAUCGCUCGGCGUCCAACACCGGCCGAGUCAUGCACGGUGUGCUCUGCUCUUGAGCCAUGAUGUUAUGAUGACGCCAUAUAAUCUCUUUAUAUUAUAUCUAUUAGAAAACUAAAAAACUAAAUAUUUUGGAAAUACAAGUUACAUAUUUUCUCUGUCCGUGAAAGUUUCAACUCUUAGAAUCCAUACUAAUUACUUUUUUUAAGUUUGAUCAACUUUAUAUAAAAGAGCAUAAAUAUCUAUGACAUAGAAUGAUUAUUUUAUAAAAAUAUAUUUUAUGAUAAAUCUAAUGAUAUUAGUUUGGUACUAUAAAUUUUAGUGUUUUUUUUUAAAUUCAGUCAAAAAAUUUAACUUAGAAUAAGUCUAAAAGUUGAAUCUUUCGGAAUGAGAGAGUCCUUAAACCAGCAGCCAUCCUGAGCCGUGCAUCCUUGAUUUGUGGCCGAGGUGAAAGGAAGAGGGAGGGGCAUAAUGUGUAGAAUUUGAAAUUUAUUGGUUAUUUAUUUGCAGUUUUCAAUUAUAAAAAAACCAUAUUUAAGUUCACAAGUAUAUUUGGGAUAUUUAUGAUUUUCUUAUUUAACAACCUGUCCAUUUAUUUUUUUCUAUAUUUGGCACCAUGGACUUCUACUACAAAUAAACAAGGACAUUUAAGUUAUUUUGCCAGACACUUGACAUAUACUAACCUAAAUGGACAGCAGUGCCUCAACUCGGUGGCAGAUAAGGAAGUUCAAAAUUUCUAGUGCCAAUUAAAUAUGAAUGACCGAUUUAUUUCAAUGCCAAAUACGUAAUUCUCUCUUAUUUUUGGGAAGGAGAGAGUAUUCUCAAGUAGUCGAGUGGAAGCUUCUCGGUGACUUGGCAAUUUCCACAACACCGCUUCAAAAUUAAAUAAGAAUGGAUGGUACGUCAGUAGAUGUAGCUGUGAUUUGCUCCAUAGAUCAACUGUGCUAAGCUUUGCGUAAUCCAUAUAUAAUCAAUAGCGUGAAGGUGUUUACUAGUAUAAAUCAAUGGUGCAUGACGCCAUCUUUUUGAGAGUAUGAUAGCCACACUUAGUUUCUUUAUAUUAAAAAAACGGUACAAUAAAUUGAUAAACGGGAUUCUGUGGACUAUAUUUAGUCUUUAGAUAUAUAAAUAUAGAUCAACUACAAGUAGUAGUAAUUAGUUAUACUCAGUCAUAUGGCUUCAUCGGAUAUGCAUCACUGCCAUUGGACACGGUGGCGGACCCAGGCCUAGGGCCAGUUAGUCCUAGCCGUGGCCUAAAUUAUUUAGGAACAAAUUUUUAAUUUUGGCCUAACACAACGCAUAGCCCAGUGGAGAGAAGAGCAGGACAAGCUAAGUCUCUCGGUCCCUCGCGCCGCAACUCACCUGCACAACUCACUAUCGUGGCUUUCCCCUCACACCGUCAUUCGCGCCACCGCCUGCUCCGCCUCCCGCUUGCUCUCGCACUCGCCGGCGCCGACAUGGCGGCACCCAGCCUGCUCUAUAAACAAACUUAACACAAUAUGGUCAGGCAGCGUAUGAUAUGUAGGCCUUGUUUAGUUCACUCUGAAAACUAAAAAAUUUUCAAGAUUUCCCGUCACAUCAAAUCUUAUGGCACUUGUAUGAAACAUUAAAUGUAGACGAAAACAAAAACUAAUUACACAGUUUAGCUGUAAAUCACAAAACGAAUCUUUUGAUCCUAGUUAGUCUAUGAUUGGAUAAUAUUUAUCACAAACAAACGAAAGUGCUACAGUACCGAAAAGUUUUCACUUUUCGGAACUAAACAAGGCCGUAAACUGGCUACCUAUACAAAUUAUGCAAACUGUAAUCAGGACUAUAAGACUCUAAUCCAAUGGUUAGAGAGAAAUUACGGUAGGUUAAUUUAACACUUAAACCCCCCACUCAUCCCUGUCCCAGGUCGCGGUCGUACGUCGGUACUUCCUCGCGGUGCCGUUUGGUUCCCGUCCAUCAUUUCGUUCCUGCGCGAGGCUAGCGCCGUGACCCGUGAUCCAGCGCCGCUGACAAGGUGCUAGAGGGCUCCGACGACCAGUCAGACCAGUCGUUCCUCGACGAGACGCAAGUCGGUGCUAGGUAUGCGCUCACCUGCGUCGCGUACCCGACGUCUGACUGCGUCAUCCAGACAGGCGCACAUGGAGGCAGACCUGUAGUAGACUACUAGGUAGUCCGGUUAGCUCCAUUCUAUGAUUCGCAAUUUCGCAUGCACUUGUGCUCUUGUCCUUGCAGCUAGCUAGAACUAGUAGAUUGUUAAUCAAACUACUUAACAUAAUAAGCCGUCGCCGUCGCUCGCAGUGUGGAUCCUGUCCCGCAUGAUGACCAGCGGAGCGUGAGCAGGAACCCAACGGGCCCGUGGACACCGUGAUGUGCCUGACGUACCUCCUGCGUCAUGGCAGCAAGCUCCAAUUCAGGGACAUGUCGUUGGCGUGCUGCCUCAUAGGCCACAUCGGAACCAACAGUGCAGAUAUUACCAUGGCAAAUAGGUUGUUUGGCAAGCUGACAGUAAUUUGUUAUGAGAGAAAAAUAUUAUUUUAUAUCUAAUUAAUUUGGCCGAUAAGCUUAUGCUCAAAUGAACAAAGUCGUCUCAGCUCAGGUGAACAAGUCUGCCCCAUAAGUCUGGCAAGUGGCAAGGCAACAGCCGGAGAAUCAUUGAUUUAUGAGAAAGUGAGAACAGGGCUGCCUAAAGAAGCAGCCCCCUCCGACAUCAAAAGGAUAGAAGUAGCAUGCACAGGACGAAGAAUCAUUGAUUUACGAGACCAGCUAUUGCAGCCUGCGUUGAGAAGCUAAUUGCCUUGAAUCAUCUCAAGUCUACAUGCAUGGAAUAGGACUUUUAGGUGAGGCUAAAUAUUCCACUGCCCACAUUAGGCUUGCCCUCAGGAACUCCUUCGCUAGCUGCGUGAAUGGCGGUUAGGUUAGUCUCAAUGCAUAUUUCAUGAGAGUGUCAUGCACAUUAAAUAGGGUGUCAUAUAAGCAAAAUUGCUAACUUGACAGAGUUAUUAAAUGAAGAAGUUUCAUCAGAUGAGAGAGGAGUUUCAUCCCCAUGAAACUCAUGUGGCUCGGUUACCUAAUUAGUAGUCUUGGUAACUGUGUCAUGAAACUAUGUAUUGAGACUGACCUUACGAUCGAACUGAUCGAGCUCUCGGUGACAAGCCAAGCGUGAAGCGUGUGUACGUGGGGUGCGUCAAUGGUCAUCGUCUUUCACGCGCCUACGCCGCACGGGACCUGUCCGAGCAGGAAGAGCUGGUGCUCCGAUGUGCGCUCACCCUCCAGCCGUCGAGGUCGAGCACGGCCUCGCCGCAGCACGACUGCCUCAGCCCUCAACAUGCUCCUGAUGAGAGCGCACGUCCAUCCACCCUUUCGGCGCGGACCAUCAGGUCCACCGUGCAGCCAUUGGGCGCGACAUUCGACCAGUUCCUCGACGAAGGUGGCGGCAACGUCACCUUCUCCGCCGACCGCCCCAACAUCCGCGACGCCGACAAUCACGCACUGGGACUCAGCGUGUGUUUGACUAGGGCAAGCAGCUGCUCCAAAAGGUCAUGCUCUCGCCGACUUCAUCGGCGUCACAUGUUGCGUGCAGUUCCAGUUCGACGCCAAUGGGAAUGGCGCUGGAAGGCGGUGGCCGGCGACGGCGUGCCACAGUGGAAGAGGAGGGUGGAAGGCUGGAAGAGCAGCAGUGGCAGCAACAGCGGUGGAGGUGUGUAGCCAUGGCGAUUUACAGCGAACGCCCUGAUCUAGUCCCUUUGCACGUGAAGAAUAAUCCUGUGAAAGCAAAAUAAAUAUUAGGAAUUUUCUACAAUUAUAAACAUAAAACAAAGGGGUAUGGACUCUUUAUACACCCCUGAUUAAGAUUUUGGACAAAAAAUACACUCUCAAACCUGAUGGACCAAAUCGACAUACCCUCAGAAGCUAAUGGACUAUCCAUGAAUUUUACUCUUAUUUAUAAGCCAAUGCACAAUACUACAGUUAGCUACUUAGAGCAUCUCCAACAAUAUUUCUUAAACCUAGUUUCUAAAUUGUCAUGAGAGAGUUAGUUAAUAGAGGAUGAAAAUAUUUAGAGAUCAAGUUGGAAAAAAAGGUCACGGUUUUUCUAUUGUUGGUGGUGAUGUUUUUUUUUUCUUGUAGGUAGUUUCCAGGGCUGCUUGCUUGUAUUUUCUGCUAUAUAAAUAGAAGCAAGCAUUAUGAGUGCCGGUUCAUUGAAAAUGAUGUUGAAAACUAUUAAAGAGAUUUUAUACUACCAAAAUCUCUAUUCCUAUCAAUACUUAAGGAUAAUUUAGAGUUACUAUUUGCCGAGAUUUCUUCUAGGUAAAGAGUACAGCUAUGAAAAAACUUAUCAAUUUUAGUUUCCAAUGCAACAAACCUCACAUUAUUUAGACUUUCCAAUAAUGAGUUAUGUUUAGACUGGUGGACACUGCUUAGAAGGCUACCAGACACCAUGUGGGACCUCCUCAGGAAUUCAUCAUGGAGACUUUUCACUGUACCUAUAGCCUAUCUUCAAAAACUUCAAUUUCUUUUCAUACCAAGUAGAAGAGUUUUGCCUAGUAUAAAUACCAUUUCUAUCUAAGCAGUUAAUUUUUUUUGAUGAAUUGAUAAACCUGUAUGGUUUUUCAGCCAAAAGCCAAUGAGUGACUUACACCAAACCUCUUGCGAGUUCUCUGUUGGUUUGUGAGAGACUAUUUCACUGAUAUAUGCAAAUGUUUUUCUAGCACUCCCUAGUUCAUGCUCUAGGCUCGUGGGCCUUCCACGUGGAUUAGUUCCGCAUCAAGGUAUCGCAUGGAUUAUUUCAAUCAGUCAUAUUAAUCAUUCACAGUAAGUUAUUAUCUUCGGUUUUUCAACCUACUAUCACAAAGAUGAGGCCACCCCUAAGGAGACUCCUUACAUCAUGAAACAUAUCAUGGAUACUUUAGAACAGCUGGUAUAUAUGAAAAUAAAAAGGAAAAUGAUUAUGAUAAAAUAAAUAAAAUUGAAGUAAAAAUUAAAAAAAAAAACUACAAAGAAAACAAAGAAAUCACGUUAUAUAGGAAAUUACAAAAAAAAAAAAAAACUGGAGUUCGCGUAAUGGGCCUAGCCUAAACAUACACCACGAAUGAGCCUUCUUAGCUAGUACAUGCUAGUUGGAGGAGGCAAAAGACAGAGUAACGUUUACAGCAUAGCAGAUGGGUGUCAGGUUCCAAUGUGGAAUCCUGACUGUAUUCGAACAGAGUUGGAGUUUAGACAGGGAAGAGCAAGACCAGAGGUAUGAGAUGAGAUGGAAUUCAGUUACAGAAUGGUUCUCAGGUUCGAUGCCUUCCCGGUGACUCCACCCUGCGCUUAUAACCCCGCGCCUACAACCGACAUUACAAGGCCAACGGCCCAACCCAACAGCCGAAGCCGACUCUCAAGCCCACAUCCACACAUACACGGUCAGACGCGGUCAGCCACCAAUAGAUGUGGCCCGGGUAGCCUUCUGGUUGCUGACAUUCCUUCCCCCUUGAAACGCAGCUUGACCCCAAGCUGCACAUGCUGGGAACCUGCGACGAAGAUCAUGAAGCUCCUCCCAGGUCGCCAGCGAAGACGGUAGAGAUGUCCAGUGAACCUUGACCUGAGUAAUUGAAGAAGCACCCUUCUGAAUCAUCCUGGAGGAGAGCAACUGAAUGGGGAACACUGCUUCCUCUGGGUCCGCCGGCAACGCACUCAAAUCCGAUUCCACCACCGUCGUUGGUGGAACAAACCGCUUGAGCUGAGACACAUGAACCACUGGAUGAAUACGACAUUCAUCAGGUAGAUUCAGUUUAUAUGCCACUGCACCAACCCUGGCUACAAUCUGGAAGGGUCCAAAGAAUCUGAAACUAAGCUUCUGAUUCGAUCUUGGAGCAACGGACGACUGAAUGUAUGGCUGUAAGCGCAGAUACACCAUGUCACCGACUGCGAACUCCCGCUCACUCCUGUGCUUGUCAGCCUGAUGUUUCAUUCGUUGCUGGGCACGAUGAAGAUGAUGUUGUAACAGAUCAUUCAACAGAUUCCGUUCUGUCAACCACUGCUCUAGGUCCUCUGAAUGAAGCUGCUGGUCACUGGAGAUACCAAAAUGCUUAGGUGAAUGGCCAUACAAGGCCUCAAAGGGAGAUCUGCCCAGAGCUGAAUGAUAACUUGUGUUAUACCAGAAUUCUGCCAAAGACAACCAUUUACUCCAUUGCCUCGGACAAGCAUGCACACUACACCGCAGAAAUGUCUCAACACACUGAUUGACACACUCAGUUUGACCAUCUGUUUGCGGAUGAUAAGAGGAACUCAUCAACAACUGGGUGUCAGUCAUCCUAAAAAGCUCUUUCCAAAACUGGCUUGUGAAGAUCUUGUCCCUAUCCGAAAUGAUAGCAGUGGGUAGGCCAUGCAAUUUAUAAAUGUGGUCAACAUAAACCUCAGCCACCUUGGAAGCAGUAAAUGGAUGGGACAAGGGUACAAAAUGUGCAUACUUUGUGAACUUAUCAACAACCACCAAAAUCACAUCAUACCUCUGAGACUUAGGCAACCCUUCAAUGAAGUCCAUGGUAAUGAUUUGCCAGGCUUGCGUGGGAAUAGGCAAAGGCUGUAACUUACCAGGCAAGCUGACAUGCUCCACUUUGGCCUGCUGACAAACAGAACAGCCCUUGAUGAAUUUCAUGAUGUCUUCCUUCAUCUUGGGCCAAGAAAACAGCUGCCGAAGCCUGUAAUAAGUAGCAUGAAAUCCCGAGUGACCACCCACUCCACUAUCAUGAAAAGCCUGAAUCACAUGAUUAUGUGCCAAGCUAUUGGAGCCCAACCAAACUCUGCCUUUGAACCUAAUCAGCCCAUCCUUUAUCGAAUAAGCAGGUGGCAACUGUCCAGCCUCAUUCCAUAAUUUGAAUAAUCUCUGAGCUUCAGCAUCUUCAGUGUAACCUUGUUUAACUCUAUCAAUCCAUUCCGGAUGACAAGAGGACACUGCUAAAAUGGCAUGCGGGGAAGGACAGCGAGACAGAGCAUCUGCAGCCAGAUUAGUACUGCCUGACCUAUACACAAUCUGGAACUGCAAGUCCAUUAGUUUGAAUAGAGCCUUUUCCUGCAGCUUAGUGGUAAUCCUUUGAUCAGAAAGGUGCAGUAAGCUUCUAUGGUCAGUUUUGAUCACAAACAGCUUGUGUUGUAGAUAGGGCCUCCACUUCUCAACAGCCAUGAUGAUAGCCAUACACUCCUUUUCAUAAGUGGACAAGGACCUAUUCUUGGCACACACCGCCUUGCUUAAAUAAGCUACAGGAUGCCCUUCCUGCAUCAGGACUGCGCCAAAACCCACAUCACUUGCAUCGGUCUCCAACACAAACUGUUUGGAAAAGUCUGGUAUAGCAAGAACAGGAGCUUGCACCAAUGCUGACUUGAGUUGCUGAAAGGCUAUCUCAGCCUGCUCUGUCCAGACAAAAGGAACAUUCUUUUUCAACAAGUCAGAUAGGGGUCUGCUGAUGAUGCCAUAAUGCCUAAUGAAUUUCCUGUAAUAUCCAGUUAGCCCCAAGAAUCCUCUCAAUUCCUUAAGAUUGUCUGGUAUUGGCCAUUGUUCUACUGCCUUUACCUUUGUUGCUUCAGUGGCCACCCCAUCUGCAGAUAUGAUAUGACCCAAGUACUCCACCUCCUGCUGUGCAAAAGCACACUUUGACAGCUUGAUAUAAAACCUCUGAUCUCUCAAAAUCUGAAACACCUGCUGCAACAAGUUGAGGUGUUCAGAUAGAGUCUUGGUAUAGAUGAGUAUAUCAUCCAUAAAAACCAGCAAACCCUUUCUCAGUAAGGCAGCAAAAAUGAUAUUCAUAAUACUCUGGAACGUUGCUGGAGCAUUGGUGAGCCCAAACGGCAUAACCAAGAACUCAAACAACCCAUGAUGAGUCUUAAAUGCUGUUUUAUGAGUAUCUGCUGGCUCAAUGCAAAUCUGGUGAUACCCUGCUCUAAAGUCCAACUUGGUAAACCACUUAGCUCCAGCCAAUUCAUCAAUCAACUCCUCCACCACUGGCAUGGGAUGUUUGUUUUUCACUGUUUGAGCAUUAAGAUGUCUGUAAUCAACACAGAACCUCCAUGAGCCAUCCUUCUUCCUUACCAACAACACAGGAGAAGCAUAAGGACUAGUGCUGUGCUGAAUGAUUCCACUACUUAACAUUUCCUUUAAUUGUUUCUCAAUCUCAUCCUUUUGAACUGGAGGGUAUCUGUAAGGCCUAAUGUUAACAGGUUGAGCCCCCGGCAUGAGUUGUAUUUUGUGAUCAAAAGGCCUGGAUGGUGGAAGUGCAGUAGGCGUCUGGAAAAUGUCAGAAAAUUCUGUUAUCAGCUGUUGCACUUCCGGUGGAAUCUGACUCUCUUGCACCGCUGCUAUGACUUCACUGUUACCCACUGCAGUCACACUGUCUUGAUAAGAAAGCUGAACCAAGUGAGUACAGGCUUGCCUAUUCAGUAAGCCUUGCAACUUAUUGCUCUUUAUUGGAGGGCACUGAACCACAUCAGACAAUAAACCCUGCAAUGUUAUCCUCUUCCCUUGAUAAGUGAAUCUCAUCAACUUCUUGGACCAAUGCACCCACAUUGGACUACAUGACUCCAGCCAAUCCUGUCCCAGAAUCAUAUCAAAACAUUUUAGAGGUAGAAUUCCCACUGAAGACUGAAAAGUAUGACCCUGAGCCUGCCACUGUAGUUUGUCAAUCCUCUCCUGACAGAGCAUAGGACUCCCAUCUGCAGCAACAUACUUGGUCACAGGGCAAGAUGUUCUGGCAUCCCCAACUUUAGAAGCAAGUUGAUCACUGAUAAAAGUUCCAAUGCUACCAGAAUCAAUCAGUAUGAGCACAUCAUUUUUACCAAUUCUUCCACAGAUUUUCAUUGUUCUCCUCUUGACAGGGUUAGUUUCCAACUCCUGUCCAACUGCCAGAACCACCUCUUCAACCUCCUCCACAUCCUGCGACCCUUGCUCGUCCACCUCAAAUUCCAGAGCAUCCAGCAACUCUUCAAUGACAUGCAAGGAUACUUGAGUAGGACAUUUGUGACCCGGGCCCCACUUUUCACCACAUUUGAAACACAGCCCGUUCUUCCUUCGAUAAUCCUUCAGAGUUGCCAACUUGUCGUCCCCUUUCUGUCUCAGGGUUUCUGACUCUGUUGAUCUCGGUCUUUCUCCCAAACUCCUAACCCCACCUUUGUGAAAAUCCUUUCCUGAGUUCCGACCUCGGCUUUUACUCAACUCCUCUUCCUGGAGCAAUGCCAAAGCACUAGCAGUAUCCACAUCCUUUGGACGAUGCAGAGAGAUCACCGAACGAAUGUCCUCCUUCAACCCUGCCACAAACCGAGUCACAAAGUACGUUUCAUCAUACCCAUUGUUGUACAGCAGGAUUCCAUGCGCCAACUUCUCGAAUUCAGCCUGAUAAUCCUCCACUGACCCAUUCUGUUUCAGAGCUUCCAACUUCUUGAGCAGCAACUGAUACUGGUUUCUGUCAAAGCGACUCAUCACCAGAUCACACAACUUGUCCCACUCCAGAAUACGGCCUGAUCGUUGCACAGUCUGCAACCAAGUUUUUGCCACCCCUUGGAAGUUCAGAGCCGCCAUCCUCGUCUUCAGCGACGGAUGUACCGCAUACACCUCAAAGAACAUUUCACAUUCAUCCCGCCAUGCACGAGGAAAUUCGCCGUCAAAUUUCGGAAACUCCAAUUUGGGAAAAGGAGGGGAACGAAAACCAGAAUGAACAACAUCGUCCAUAGGUGAAAUCAUCGGACUAGCAUGUUGCUUACCCUUAUUGUCGUACUGCGGCCGGUGUCCGAGGACUCCGCCGCAGUCAUCGCCGUGGCCCUUGGCCCGCUCCCCGUCCCUCGAAGAUGAGCCCGAGGACGUCCUGGGAGCCGUGUUGAGGUCGAGGGUCCCCAACACCGGAUUCGGAUGAAUCGGAGGUGGAUCCGCAGGUGCCGCAACUCUUGCCUCCAACGCCUCCACUCGAGUCGCCGCGAGCUCCACCCGCUUGGUCACCUCUUCCAGCGCCGUCGACGAACUCUGCGCCUUCUCACGCAAAUCGUCGAACGCUUGAUCCGCGGUCGACUGCCAAGUCCCGAUGGCCUCCAACGAAUCCAUCGUGCUCUUCAACAUCUGCUGAAAGCCCGCAAACUGCUUCAGCAUCUCACCCAACUGCCCCGACACCCCCUCCACCGACUGCGCCAUGUCCUUCUGGAACUUCGAGGGUCCUCUCUUCGGCGCCAGCCUGACCCCCGCAGCCUCGACGUUCACCGACCCGUUCAACCUCGGCUCGGACUUAAAGCGUUGGCAACUCAAUCCGCCGAAGCGAAGAGCCGCCCUGCCAGCCGACGGGGAUUACGAACGCGAUUCCGAUGACACGAUCUUCGGCUCUGAUACCAAUUGUCAGGUUCCAAUGUGGAAUCCUGACUGUAUUCGAACAGAGUUGGAGUUUAGACAGGGAAGAGCAAGACCAGAGGUAUGAGAUGAGAUGGAAUUCAGUUACAGAAUGGUUCUCAGGUUCGAUGCCUUCCCGGUGACUCCACCCUGCGCUUAUAACCCCGCGCCUACAACCGACAUUACAAGGCCAACGGCCCAACCCAACAGCCGAAGCCGACUCUCAAGCCCACAUCCACACAUACACGGUCAGACGCGGUCAGCCACCAAUAGAUGUGGCCCGGGUAGCCUUCUGGUUGCUGACAAUGGGUAUACCAUCUGAACCGUGGGCCUGUUUGGUUUGAAGCGGUAAAGUUUACCGAGCGAAGAGAUCAUCAGACUGAACAACUUUAACAUUAACAUAGAGUAACUAUCAUCAGACUAUCCACCGAGCGAAGCAGCAGCACCCAGGGACUCACUCCAUCAGACGUCCUGCAGAUGCAAACCGAAGCCAGCUGCUUCUCCCCAGCUGUUCCACAUGUUUCCGAAGACGACGGCUUCUAGCUCUGAAGCCGCCACAUCACUUGAGCAGCAGCCUCCAUGCGCCAUGCAACUUUCGUAUGUAGCAACGACUCCCUCUUCUCCUCCUCCGGGCACAAGAUCCCCCACCUCUACUGUACUAGGAGAGUCACCGUACCAAGCUUGAUGUUGGACAUGGAAUUCUACUUCGGGUUCGGAACUAGUAAGCUCGUCCUGGAGCCGGCGGCGUCGCUCGUCAGAAAGCUGCUUGGCGAACUUGGCGAGCUGCUCGGCGUUGGUCCCUGCACCGGGCACCUCCACGAUCCGGCCAGUCUCCAGGUCCACCCGGGAGACGUUCAUGUCCAGGAGCUUGUUCCCGAUUCUCACCAGCCUAUCCAUGUUCUCCUUGGAGGUGUCGUCUAUGGAGCCCGCGCUGCCCGUCAGCUGAUCAUACUGGAUGCGCAGGUAGUUCUGGCUGGAGCGCAGGGCCCUGAAGAGGACGCAGAGGUUGAUGUCGACCAUGUCGGCGCUGGCGGAGUUGAACAUGUCGAUGAUGGGAGCGUUGCCGUCCUUGAAGAGCCAGCUGAAGACGCCCCACUUGGCGGCGGCCUUGGCGCAGUACCUGCGGUUCCGGUUCGACCCGCAGCCGAGGGAGAUCACCAUGAACUUGCCGUAGUCCGCCGGCAUCACCGGGAACAAGUCGUCGUCGCCGAGGAUGAUGUCCUGAGACACCUGGUUCAUCGCGCACAGAGUCUGCAGCACGCAGAGCUGAAUGUGUGAGGCUGUAAGCUGUAUGAACUAGCCUAUAGGGUGCAUGCUGCGUGGCGCUAGCUACCUAGCUGCCUAGCUUACAGGGUUAUUCGCAGCGAUCCCACCAUCGACGAGGUUGAAGCCCCUCCUCCUGCCAUUCUCGUCCUUGGUCUCGAAGUAGUGCGGCGGGAAGAAGGUGGGCGCUGCCGAGGUGCUCAUCGAUAUGUCUGACAGAAGCGCAUUUUUCCACGGCCGGUGCUUCAACUGAUCAUCACAGGAAACAACGAGGCAGCUAAGAAAAACACGAUACAUUCUCCAAUUAGGCCUUGUUUAGAUCAAAAACCUUUUGGAUUUUGACACUGUAGCACUUUCGUUUUUAUUUGACAAAUAUUGGACUGGAUUUUGACACUGUAGCACUUUCGUUUUUAUUUGACAAAUAUUGUCCAAUCAUGGAGUAACUAGGCUUAAAAGAUUCAUAUCGUGAUUUACAGCUAAACUGUGCAAUUAGUUAUCUUUUUUAUCUAUAUCUAAUGUUCCAUGCAAGUACCGUAAGAUUCGAUGUGAUGGAAAAUCUUGUAAAGUUUUGGGUUUUUGGGUGCAUAGCAUCUUCAACGGUUUACCAUUCUAGUUUGGCAUUUGUGUUAUUUGGCAAAAAAGGUAAAAAUCACUCCUCCAACGGUUUUGCAAACGGGUUUGCCAUUUUAGUAAACUUGGCAUUUGAGAGGCUCCCCUUGGCAUAUUUGGGAGUUGGCUUUUGGAUUGGCAAACGCUUGCGGCCGGUUUUCCUGCAUCAAUUCCGUGCGUGGCCUGGUCUCUUUGGCGUCGUUUCCUUCGUCGGUGGGAGUCCUCGCGCCAAAUAGAGUCUGCGCCGCCAUUGGUUGCCGCGACUCAAAGACACAGAUCAAGUCUGCUACGUCGUCCCUCCCUGAACGCGACUGCGAACAUGGGCAGCAGCUGUGGAUGAGGUCCAGGUAGCGGCUACUUCCACCAGGAACGGUAUGCAUCACGAGGAAGAUGAAGGCGACGACGGACACGAACCUACAACUGCGAGCGGCGGUGCCUCCCUUCGCGCGAAGGGAAACACGCGCGAAGAAACACGCCCGUGCGACAGAAAGACGCGCGCAAAGAUUUGGCUGGGUCCACUAGGUAAUUGCCAAGUCCAAAAUGCCAAACCAUUGGGGAUGAUCAUAUUUUUUCCUUUGCAUUUGUAAUUGAGAGUUGACAAACAAUAACAAAUGUCAAACCAAAAUUGCCAAACCAUUGUAGGUGCUCUAAACAAGUCCUUAAUCAAAGUACAUGCUUAGGCGCACAUCAUUCACGAAAACUAAGGAAAUAUACACAGAAAUCUCCUUUUGAGAGACAGAGCUUGACCGAGUUCAUCCAACAUCAGCAUUAAACAACGACGAACAGUACCAAAUUUACUGUUUAUUAGUCCCUCCGCCACAGUAUAUAAGACAUAACUACCUUUGGUUCAAAGUCUAAGAACACAUAAUUCUCUCUCUCAGCACUAGUACUACUACAAUAAUGUUUGUGAGAGAGUACGCCUUAUAUUAUAGUACAUGAACAAAAAAUGGUUACGCCUUAUAUAGAAGAACUUGAAAAUUGCAUUGGACAGGGAAGGAGCUAUAGACCACCUUAGAGCAUGUCCAACACUCUAACCCACAAAAUUAAAUAUGAAGGCUAAAGCUUAAAAAAUCAACUCAAACGAGGCCAGGACUCAAAAUUUUAGGGUCCAUAAAUUUCCACCCACGUCCUGUUCCCAUAAACCCUACUCGAAGCCCUCAAAUUUCUAUUUCAGCAAUUUUAGUUGUGUUUUGAUACGAGGGUCUUUGUCUUUCUCCUAGUCCUAGUCAUCUGUGGCCGUCCACUCCCGCCUACAACGUUUUUCUAGCACAACCACUCCCUCCUCCCAUGACUCUCCCUUUUCCUCACUAGUGGCGUCCUCUCCGGGAGCAGCACCAGCGACGUCCUUUUCAUUCUCGGCGCAGAUCUCCCCUAUGGCAGGACCCUCGGUGGCACUCCCUCUCGCGACAUACAUCCCUUUCGACUGCACCUCACCCGGCAAUGUCCCCUCUCUCGUCGGCCUAGAUCCCGCUCGACAACAACACUCUGCCAGUCUAUGUCUGCAACCCCCGGUAGCACCACUACCCGUAGCUCCAACUCUCCUCUUCAUCUCCUUCCUAGCUGUUUCUCUUUCCUCUCUAUCUUUCUGCAUCCAGUUGUCGAAGAUGGUCAUGUUCAUCAAGGAGAAUAAGAUAAGAAAGAGGAUGACAAAUGGGCCCCAUAUGUCAUGUCCUAUUAUUAGAAUAAAUUUGAGGACUUUGUCUUGAGAGCUAUUGCUGGAGUGUAGCGUAGAAUAAAACAUGAUCCACAAAACGCUGAGAAGCCCUCAAAUAAGAAAUAGAGACCGUGAUUAGCUUAUGAGGCACUACUUUUCAGCCACGGAUAUACAUGGCCAUGCAGCCCGCGGCCCGAUGGCUCGGCGAUUUGGCCCAGCCCGAGCACGGCCCAAGGGACUAGACUGUGCCUAGGCCGCCACCUAGGCACGUGACACGACAUGGGCAUAGCCCGUUCCAACGGUUGGCCCGAUGAAAAUAAACUGUUGGUGUAGUUGUGACUUGUAUAUAUAUAUUGUUAAUUGUUAUACUGGUGAAAAUGAUAAACAAUUAAUGAAAAUAAUAAAAUAUUCCAGGAUUUGGUGAAAAUGUUAAUAAAAAUGAGCUAUUGUCGGCUUGAUGGGCCGUGGGCCAGCACGACACGGCGUGGUUGACAGGCCGACAUGGCAAGAAAACUGGCCCACGGACCGUGCCUUGGACCGAAGGCCAGACAUGAAGCCCAUAGAGGCACGGCUUGCUAGGCACGACAGCCCGUAAUGGCUCGACGACCUGCGACACAGCACGACACGACGCCGCACGGCCUGUUGGACAUAUAUGGCCAUUGAAUAAUAUUUUUCUCUCAGAAUAAAUCAGCAUCAUCGGCUGACGUUGAUGCUAAUUUGUUUUGAGAGAAAAAUAUUGUUUCGUGGCUGAAAAAUAGUGUCUGGUUAGCUAAAGUCUAUCCUUUUGACUAGCAAUUAUUAGCUACUCCCUCCAUCCCAAAUUAUAAGGCACUCCAAAAUUCUUGGAGAGUCAAAACAUCUUAAGUUUGACCAAAAUUAUAAAGAUUUAUGACAUCAAAUAGAUAUACUAUGAAAAUAUAAUUAAUAAAGAAUCUAAUGAUAUUUAGUUAAUAUUAUAAAUGUUAUUAUUUUGUCAUAUAAAUUUGGUCAAACUUAAAAUGUUUUGACUCUUCCAGAUUCUUGGAAUGACUUAUAAUUUGGGAUGGAGGGAGUACUGCCUACCAAUGAUGGACCAAACUAAUUAAAGUAACGAUGAUGGCCUUAUUAUCAUAUAGGAGUGUGUAUAUAAACUAUAAGUUGUCGGUCGUGAUCAGACUAAAGUAAAACUAGCAGUUAGCUGUGGAAGGUAUAUAUAGACCAUCAGUACCUGUCUUCGGUUCUUCCUCCAAGCUUUAGGUACAUAGACUAGAGGGACAGAACAACAACCCAAAUGCACACACUGAAGUAGCAGUGAUGAUACUGAUAACAAUGCCUACUAAUUAUUAAUUAGUCAAGUAAGUAGGACCAUAUUCAGGAAUAUAUGCCUGUGUGGCUGUGUGCCAAAACACAGCCAAACAAACGGCAAAAGAAACUAUUCAUGAAAGUAUCCGAUAAUGAAAUUUACUGGUAUCGAAGUUUGUCACCCUUACCCUGCCUGAUUCCUGAGCAUUACGUAUCCAACAAAAAAAAUGAGCGAUUUACCAACAACAAGAAAAAUGCACACUAAAGUUCAGGUUUAUUGUUUAACACCGACAUGCACUGCCAUGUGACAUGUUCUUGAAAUAGUGGAACAGACUUCAUACGAAGUAUUCUCAAUUCACUCAUAUUCCUGUUUUAUCUGAAAAUAACGUAUUUAGGGGCCUUCUUACCGGCUACAGUACUUACUAGAUAUUUAAAACCUUCUCGUUCUUUCUUGUUGAACAGUAAAAUGAUGUAUUAUGUAUCUCUUUACUUCUGAAGCUGCUUGCUAGCUAUAGCUUGUGUGAAACUCUGAACAGCAAGUGUACUACUACUGCUAAGAGGAACCCAGCAUUGGUUCGAACUGAACCUCGCUAGUGUGUCCACUAAAAACGAUUUUCUCAUCAAGAUUUGAAUUUGAUACCCCAAGCGAAGUAAAGGAUAAUGCAAAAGCCAGCAGACAUCAGUCCUACCGAUCGAGUACCGUUCUCUAACCUCCAGACACUCGAUCGGACCUGUUCAGGAGUUGAGUUACCUCAAAGCUGGAGAAAAUCGUCGGUUGCAGGUACGCAAUGUCGAAGGUCGGAAUGACAACAUUGGUCAGCGUCCUGUCCAGCCUCGUAUUACCAAGGUACCGUCGGAGCAGCCCAUGGAGGUACUUGCCGUCGUACUUGGGCCCA